GGCCAAACAAAAACAGGCUUUGUUAUUAUUAUCCGGCCCAUUAUAAUGACUUCUUAAGUCGGUUUUAAAAUGCGAAACCCUAGAUCGCGAGAAACAAAAGGAUCUCCGCUAUAUAUAAAACGAUAAACCCAAAUUAUCAUAGAACAACCACCGCAGCUUCGUAGCCUAAAAUCACUCUUGUGUCUUGAUUGCUUGUUUUUUCUUGUGUUCAUAAAACACUGAUCGGGUUUUCGUAUGUCCAUAGUGAUGAGAUUCAGCAGACGGGCGGUCUGAAUUGAUGCCAUGUAGAUAUGUCUGCAUUCGCUACAACUUUGUAGCUUAUCUGAGUAUUGAUCUCUUUGUUUGAUUUAUGUUACAGAUUUAUAUUGCGAUGAUGAAUUUGCUUCUAAUUAUGUCUGGACAUAUGAGAUUAUUCAAUC